ensembl:lncRNA SPIN4-AS1 SPIN4 antisense RNA 1
CUAGAACAUACUUUCUGCAUGAAGAUGGGGAAAAUAGGUGGAAGGAUGUACUUCGCAUCCUCAACACUUGUUUUCUGGGAAGAAACAAGAAUGUAAAGGUCAUGUACUGACAUUGUGGAGAUCUUCUAAAAUUCAGUGAAAUAAAAGACGAAACUACCAUUAAUUUUACCAUCCAGACUGCACCAAAAUGUUAACAAUACUGUUUUCUCUCCUAUUAAUAAACCUGUACUUAUAUUUUAUAAAAUUGGGAGCAUAUUUCAUACUUUUAUAACUUGUGUUUUUCAUGUAUAUCAUGAACAUUUUCCAAGAUUGUUAAAUACUCUGAAAACAUGAUUUUUAAUAGUAAUAUUAAAUAUUUGUAAUAUUCCUUUUGAUAGUCCACUAUUUAUCCUACAUGAUCUAUAACAUAAGUAUAAAUAAAAACAU